rnacentral:tRNA from 1 species
AAGGUUUUAAGUUAAUUAUAAACUAGAGGCCUUCAAAGCUUCCAAUAAAGAAGGUUCUUUAAGCCUUA